GGUUAAGCGACUAAGCGUACACGGUGGAUGCCCUGGCAGUCAGAGGCGAUGAAGGACGUGCUAAUCUGCGAUAAGCGUCGGUAAGGUGAUAUGAACCGUUAUAACCGGCGAUUUCCGAAUGGGGAAACCCAGUGUGUUUCGUCACACUAUCAUUAACUGAAUCCAUAGGUUAAUGAGGCGAACCGGGGGAACUGAAACAUCUAAGUACCCCGAGGAAAAGAAAUCAACCGAGAUUCCCCCAGUAGCGGCGAGCGAACGG
rnacentral:rRNA from 1 species